rnacentral:sRNA from 1 species
UAAACAGUAAAACAAGCUAGCCUUAUACGGAAGUGGCAGGGAUGGGCGAUUUUAUUUUAUUAUAUGUGUAAUUUUGUUAUAUACAUUAAGUUUACAACAUGUAACAUAGUCACGAGGAAUAAAAAUAACUUCGCUGUAAGCUUCAAUUCAUUAUAAGCGUGUUUGCUAUAACCGUGUUUUACUGUUCAUGAUUUUUUUAAAUUUUAUCUUUGUCUACAGUUGACAAUACUAGUCAGUAAUGGUGAUGAUUUUUUUAUGGUAUCAGUGCAUAUACUAAAAGGAGUUUUCUGCUUUUUAUGGAGAUUUUAUUUAAAAAUCAUUUAACAUCGCUAUAAGUAGACACAAUUUUCUUGUGAAAGGCUGCAGGAUUUAUGUGUGUAAGUUUGAAUUCUCUGUUACUAAAAAUUAUACAGAGAGUCAGUUUUAUUGGUAUGGUAAUUGUUGACACAACAAUGGGGGAUCUGCUAUAUAUGGUACAUGUUUAUAUUAUUGUGGGAUUUAUUUGUAUUUUCUAACAGCACUCUGUCAUUAAGAAGCUUAUAAGGAAGAGGAUGAUGUGGUGUCUAUUUACAUGUAUACACUCAUUAUAAAUAUCAUGUUGUAGCUAGCUACAAUUCAUGUUGUAGCUAACUACGAUUCAUGUUGUAGCUACGAUUCAUGUUGUAGCUAGCUACGAUUCAUGUUGUGGUUGGCUUUAUUAUAUUAUGGUUAUUGUUAUGUUCAUGCAUUGCAUCUUAAAAAUAUUCUAUGCAUUAAUGAUUACAUUUUAAAUUUAUAAAUUGUUAUUGCCUCUCAAGUAAAAUGCAAAGCAACUUUUGGAAGCAUUUAUGCAUUAAUUAAAACUCUGUAUGUGUAACAGAAGGAUUUACAUGUAUAUAUUUUUAUGUUUUUUGUACAGGUGUUACAUUAAAAAUUUAAAAUC